UACGUAGGGUGCAAGCGUUAAUCGGAAUUACUGGGCGUAAAGCGUGCGCAGGCGGCUUUGCAAGACAGAUGUGAAAUCCCCGGGCUUAACCUGGGAACUGCAUUUGUGACUGCAUGGCUGGAGUGCGGCAGAGGGGGAUGGAAUUCCGCGUGUAGCAGUGAAAUGCGUAGAUAUGCGGAGGAACACCAAUGGCGAAGGCAAUCCCCUGGGCCUGCACUGACGCUCAUGCACGAAAGCGUGGGGAGCAAACAGG
rnacentral:rRNA from 1 species